rnacentral:rRNA from 1 species
GUCUAUGGCCAUGCCACCCUGCACACGCCUGAUCUCAUCUGAUCUCGGAAGCUAAUCAGGUUUGGGCCUGGUUAGUACUUGGAUGGGAGACCAACUAGGAAGACUGGGUGCUGUGGACA